rnacentral:misc_RNA from 1 species
GUUAACAGCCGUGCAUUCAAAAUUUUAGCUCCCUUUUGAAAUGUGUGAGCUCCAAAACGACCUGGCAAUGUAGAUCUUCACUUGGAUAAUCCAGUUGUUGUGUGUCUGUUGUAGUGUUUCAGCGACUUACACUAACAACAUGUUUCCUGGGAGAACCACUGCUCUUCUUGUUUUGUUUGCUCCGUUGGGGUUUUCUCUGACUUGUUUAAAUAUGACUAAUACAGCAGACUGGUCUGUAAGUGCAACUUGUUCGGACACGUCGACAGCCAAACCUAAAAAGUGUCUCUGGGAUGCUGUUAAUACAAAGACAGGUCAGCGUGUUGGCAAUGCUCUUACUUCGGUCUCUGAUAGGUCAUAUUUCUACUGUUCUGAAACAUUCCUGUUACCGUUGUCAGCCGGAGAGUACGACUACUACAUCUUACUUCCAAACGGAUGGACUUUUGCCUUUCAGCUACAGAUUGUCGACCCAGGGGAGCCAACUGUGGAGUAUUGUAAGCAUUAUGUGCGUGAAGGGGAGAACGUAAGGUGCCUAUGUUCAACACAAAAUGAAGGCAACCCCCCGCCAGUCAUUUCAUGGGAAGGACAGGGAACCUCUCCAAUACUUCUCCUGGAUGCUGUCAGUCGUGAAGACAGCAAGAAUUACAAAUGUAAAAUGAUUUGGGGCAACCGAACAAAAACGGUCUCCUACGAUCUCUACGUGCGAACUGACUCACCUGUUUCCUAUCGUCUAACGACAACCGUUAAACCAUCUACCUUUCUGAGCAGAAAACCAACCACCUUUUACGUCCAGACAUUUACUGAAAGCAUCGAUGAGGUCGAGAGAGAUGAAAAUAAAAAUGCCUCAUCACUGCCGAUCGGUAUCAUAGUAGCUGCAGCGGCUGCUGUCUUGGUCCUUAAUGUAGCUACCACAGUCAUCGUGAUUUUUAUCAUUCGUAGGAAAAGCAAGUAUUUUCUUUCACUCUGGUCAAACAAUUAUUGUGUGUCCUUUUCAACUGACAUCUUAAAACUGUGUAAGAGAUAUUUAGUAGACAACCAAUACAAAUAAUGCUUGUGGCACCGAAUGCAUGUAAAUCGAAUAAGGACAGCUCCUUUAACCGGCUAUUCGCGGUUUGCUAGUCGAGACCUAAACGCGUUUAGGGUCUAUAGGGAUUACACGUGCACUGAGUUGUAGUCGGGCUCCAUUAGCUUUUUGCUACUGGCAGCGGGGACAACUGCUUAUAUUUUUUAGAAGCGGCGAAAAUCCGAUGGCGUUUCAGUGAAGAUAAAGAAGGCUAACUGCUUCUUCUCACAGCCUCGUUCUUCUUUCCGAGUUGUCACCUAACUAGUUAGAGAGUCAAUGUCUAAAGGUUAGAUAUUUGACCCUAAUGUAGUCGAGAUGCGAAUGACUCGAAUGUGAGGCAGUGACCUUUGGCCUUUGUGUGAUUGAGUGGCUGGUAGUGACGUGUAAUACUGGGUGGGAUGAGAGUUACCUCUGAAACUCUGCAUGACUAACCCUUCACGUUCCAUCCUCUUAUACAUCGUACCCGUAUUCCGAAACUUUUUAGAAGAUAUCCUCUUCUGUUGCUGUGAGCCCCUCCUCUCCCCGAACCGUCUCCCCCUCCCUCUCGAAAAAACCACAGGUCGCCGGACAUCCGUUACAGAUCCAUUGACCACCGAAGUCGAAAAUGCUCAAAAGCAACUUCAUGAAUGUUUCAACAUUGAUAGAGGAGAUCUCCAUUGAACACCAGAUUUUAUGUGGGUGUCACAGUGACACUGUGAAUCAACUAAAAAGAAAUGAAAUUUGGAUUGCCAUUGCGGGAAAGGUGAGUGCCUGUGGGGUGGUACUGAGAACUGCCCAAGAAUGUCACGAUAACUGGUGAAGCAUGACAGGUAAAUAUAGACAAUUAUAAUCUGUGUUUAGUCGAUAUUUGUGUUCAAUUGGUUACAUAAGUCCACUGAUAACCCAUAUAUGCUUUAUUAUUAGAGACAAAACAACUUAAUGAUUAAAAGUGAGAGUUGUACUGGGAUUUGAAAAGUGUAGACUUAUAGUACAUAUUAAAACCAUUACAUUUACUUGUGUCGUAAUUCAUGCACGUAGUUCAUAUUUGUCAGGAUGUUAUUAUUUUGUGACGCUAUUGUUCUUUGUAGACAUGUAUUUGACUGUUGGUUUGUUGUUUUGUUUUGUAAGCAAGCAGCAUAGGAAGCGGUGAUAAGCGGAGCCUGCAAAGCGGCAGUUACACCCUCACAAAAAGAUACUGAGGAAGUAAAGAUGUGAACAUCGGUUACUGUCAGCAUGUAGUAUGUACCCCUCCCCAUCCCCAACAAAGCUGAGCAUCUUUCUACACCCCUGCAAUCCCUUGGAUGUCACACACUGAGAACAGACCCACAACAUAGACAGUAACCUUUACAAGUUCCAUUAUUAUUUGGACUGACUUAUUAAUCUCUUCUAAUGAGCAUUAUUAUUGUUAAUAUUUAAAAGAAGUUGUCCUGAACAAGCAGCGAGGUAACAAGAAAACUUGAAGAAGGCCAUCACUACCACCUGUACCAUAUGAAGAUUCCAUCCAGGGGAUAAUUGGUGACAAUACCGUCUUGAUUAUUGUAAUAACUGAUGCUCAGACAGGCCAUGCAGAGUGAUUUGAUGGAUCAAGACAUCAUGCUAAUUCCUGCCCUCAGCUGCCAGUAGUUACUUUGCCACCUCUACCAGGGAUACUACUUACAACGAACCAUUAAUCAUGAAUGAUAAUUAAGUUUAUAAGUUUUAUAACUUUAUAAUAAAGAUGUGUUUGAAAAGAAA